rnacentral:rRNA from 1 species
AUGUGGACAAAUGGGAGCAGCAGAAUGCAGUAUAGAUUCUUUGCAAACGUCAUAACUUUCGACACCACUUACAGGACAAACGACAUGUCAUUUGGACUAUUUUUGGGGGUCAACAAUCUUUUUCAGUGUAUAAUACUUGCUGGUGUCUUGAUGAGGGACGAACAAGAAGAGAGUUUCGAAUGGGUGUGCUCAGAAUUCCUGCGGAUGAUGGGAGGCCCUGCUCCAAGGACUAUUCUGACAGGUAAGUCAUGCCUUGAUGAUGACUUUUGUUAUUACAGACCAGAGCAGAGCCAUGGAACUAGCCAUCAAGAAGGUUUCCCCAGAGACCGUGCUCAGGUGGUGCAAAUGGCAUGUCCUAAAGAAAGAGUGUUAGGGCCAUGUUAG